GACGAACGCUGGCGGCGUGCCUAAUACAUGCAAGUCGAACGCUGAAGCGCGGAGCUUGCUCUUCUUGGAUGAGUUGCGAACGGGUGAGUAACGCGUAGGUAACCUGCCUUGUCGCGGGGGAUAACUAUUGGAAACGAUAGCUACUACCGCAUAACAAUGGGUGACACAUGUCAUUUAUUUGAAAGGGGCAUUUGCUCCACUACAAGAUGGACCUGCGUUGUAUUAGCUAGUAGGUGAGGUAAGGGCUCACCUAGGCCGCGAUACAUAGCCGGCCGGAGGGGGUGAGCGGCCACACAGGGACGGAGACACGGCCCAGACUCCCUCGGGAGGGAGCCGGAGGGAAGCAUCGGCGAUGGGGGGAAGCAUGACCGAGCAAGGGCGCGGGCGUGAGGGAGGGUGUCGGAUCGUAAAGCUCCGUUGUAAGUCAAGAACGGGGGUGAGAGUGGAAUGUUCACACGGUGACGGUAGCUUACCAGAAAGCGACGGCUAACUACGUG
rnacentral:rRNA from 1 species